rnacentral:sRNA from 1 species
UGACCUAGUAUAUGAACGAUUAUAGGGUC